rnacentral:lncRNA from 1 species
CUGUUGAUUGAAUUUUGAUUGCUGAUUAGGUAUAAUUUGAAAUCUUUGAUAUCACUGAUUGGUAUAUGAAUUGUCUUUGAUGGAUUAAUAAUGAAAAUAACAUUUUUAGCUCACCUGGCCUAAAAGGCCAUGUGAGCUUUUCUCAUCACUUGGCGUCCGUCGUCGUCGUUGUCGUCGUAACAAUUUUUUCAAACAUCUUCUCCUCUGAAACUACUGAAUGGAUUUGAAUGAAAC